CCUAAGGAGGGGGGCGUGCCGAAGCCUGAUUGGCCGCCGCUGGCCUGGUGGGCGGAGCCAUUCGGUGCCUGCUCCACGUGCGCGCGCUCCAGCCAGAAGGGGCAGCCCCGGCGACGCCAGCAGCGAAGUUUCCGCAGCGGAAGGGAACGAACGACAGACCGACCUCCGAUCGGUCCCUCGGUCCGCGUGGGCUGGGGCUUUUUGUGUUUGGAUAUGUUUUAUGUUUCCCAGUGGGGGCCAGGAGACUAGCAGGGUCUCUCUUUUGCAAGACAUCAAGUGAGGAGCAGAGAGCUGUGGAGAGACAGACAAGGGUGACCAGCAGGAGUGACAGCCGUGCCUUCCCGGGCAUGCAGCCCCACCGACUGGCAGACUGGCAUCCCUCUCCCUGGACUUUCUUCACUUAAGAAGGCAGCAACCUCCCUUUGGAGCCUUUCAGGGAGGAAGAACAACAGAACAUCACCUGGCCAAUGAGUUUGAGAAGCUGCCCUGAUUUCUGGACCCUGACCUUGCCAUGUUGGUGGCUGCAGCCGUAGGAGGAAAACCAAACCUGUUUCUUGCCACAUGCUGCACUUGAAGAACCAGAGAGGCAGAGGGGAACUCCUGGGUUCCAUGAUGGGAUCACUCACCUCAGCUGCUGGAUCACUUUGACAGACUGCUCAGGCCACGGAUAAAUGGUGGGAUCCCACCAACCUUCAGGAUACAGCUUCUGAUAUGUGGUGGUGGGGGGACCAGGACCAGCUGCCUUAUGACUC